rnacentral:lncRNA from 1 species
AGUUUUUUUUGCUUUUGAAAAAAGAGUAAUUACUUAUAUACUGCUGAAAAGUUUUCAACUUUCUGAUUUAUCUCUCUUAGAAGGCUAAUAUUGAAAAUACCCUUUUUACGUUUCAAUCUAUUUCAAACAUACCCCUAGAGUUAAAUUCUGUUAAUGAACUGUUAAAAUAGUUGUUAUCUCUAUAAAAUUAUUAUUUUGCCCUUUUAAAUAUACCCUUCUACGAUCACUAACUUUUCUUAUUUGCUCUUAAGUUAGGGAUAUAAAAAGUAUUUUAAUUUUUAAUCUUUUCAAAUUACUCUUCUACCAUCGCCGACGUUUCUUAUUUGCCCUUAAGUUAAGGGCAAAAUAGGCAUUUUGAUUUUUUUUUAACUCUAGUAGAUAUUUUAACUCACGUUUAACCCAAAUUAACUUAAUAGGUGGUAAUUGCAGGGGUAUUGUGAAAUAACGGAGGAACAUAUGAAGGGUAUAUUGGACAUAAAAAAAAAGUAGGGAUUAAUGAGAUAUUUCUGAAGUUUUGAGGGGUAUAAAGGCAGUUAUUGUAGUGCUUCUGAGCUUUGGAUAGGAAUGGCUUCAGUGUUAGUGACUGGUCGACACAUCUGGAGAGUGUCGGACUGAGUCGGGGUCAUUUCUGCGCGAAAUGGAUGCAGAAAUAAACUCGACGCACUCAAAUAAGUAAAACUGGAGUUUUGCAAGAUUCGGACGCCUAGAAUUGGCUUUGGGUCG